UGGGUAAGAAACGAGAGGGAGGAGGGUCCCGACGAAACCCGCCCCCGCCCUUGCCCGGGUUCAGCUCCCAUGGCGGCUCGGCCCCCACCGCCUACUCCGCCUCUCCCGUCGCCUCCACGCCUCCGCCGGCCCCGGCUCCGGCGCCGGCGAAGGCAAAUUGCUUCUACCCGGCGUCUCCAGAUCGAUACUAAGCAUGGACAAGUCUGCCUGAUCCCAAUCAAAAUAGUGUGUCUGUCACCAAGUGGACGAGAAGGAGAUGCAUAUGUGUUGUGCGGCCUUGAUGUGUAUUACUGUAUAUAUGCAGGUUAUUGUCUCAUUUUUCUAGCGAUUGGUAUAUGGCUCAGGGUCAUGUACAAAGUCUCAGAUGUAUGGAUGUGUUGUUGCUGGAUUUGUUUCGUGGUGAAUCUCAGGCAACCCUUCACAAAGCUUCUACAUUACUCGUCGCCUUCCAACAACUUUGGCUAAAUUUUGGGGUAUAAGUGGAGGCCAUUUUGCUUGGCUUUCAUUCCCAUCCAGUGUAGCACCCAAAUCGAUUUGUUAAUACUGAACAUGUUUUCCGGAUGUAUCUUCCAUAUGUAUUAUGUGCAUUUCAAUAUCUUCGAAAAUUAUAAUGUGGACAAUUAGUUAUUAUGGCUUGCAAGGUGAACUCCUCGAUCCAUGGAUACAGUCCCGCAUCUAUAAUGAAAUCAUAAGUAAGGUAUGCGUGACAACCAGGGAGACGACAAAGUGCUAUCGAACGACCAUACGAUGCUAACUCUCUCUGCUGCAUAUGCAAUUCUGCAUGGGCAUCUGGUUAGAAUGAGAACAUUACGUAGUGCAAAUACAGCCAAUUACCUCACCUUAUUUUUCUCACCAUGCUAUGGUCCCAUUCAGUGUAGUUAAUUUGAUGGGCUCCAAAGGUGAUAUGUGUGUUCAAAUGCUACCUCAUAAUUUUUCAUUUGUGGUGUCUCUCAUAGCCGUUUCUGUAAGGGAUCAAUGGAAAACGACCAUGUGUUUGGUUCUGAAGUUAUUUAAGUUUAGAGUUAUCUCUUAUGCUCUCUUAGGUACUCUUUCUUAAUUUAUCAGAAACUAAUUCUAUCCCAUUACAUUCUUGACAUUCCACAAGAUCACAUUGCUUGCCCCACUAAAUUAGCAUUUAGGCUGGGCGAAAACCUUAGAUCAUACGUUCAGAGUUUAGUUCUUUUCUUAUCUGAAACUAACAUAUUUUACAACGAGCAUGAUGGAUGUUGCAGGUUCAUUGAUGACAACCAAGGGUUCAUGCUCGGAAAUGACUACAUCUUGCUCCAUGUCGUCGGCUCAGCUAGAGUCCUUAAUCAUGAGGAGAUGGGACACAUCAAUUGUUAGAGUACACUUGACAGGGGUUAUCGACGCUUACUAGCGCGGCCGGUGGGCGCUGUGCUCUUCAACCACUCAGAGGCGGACUUCUCCGUGAAGCCGGUGGCCACGUCGCGUAGAUGAUUGUCCAGGUGAUUUCGACGCCGGUGGUCGCCGAGGUGGAGGACCUAGACACCACCGUCUGGGGGAAAGGAGGAUUCGGGUCCACCGGCGUUUAAGCUCCGAGCCUUGGUAGAUACAUCUAGGGAAGGGGUCUGUUUAGGUUGGUGAUGGAACACCAGGGAGGGCACCCACCUUUGGAUGAUGGUUGUGUGUGUCUGAUGUUAAAUGGAAUCUUGAGAAUGUUAUGUGAUGUUGGUUUGGUUUGCACUGGACGUAUUGCCAUCCAUGAA